rnacentral:rRNA from 1 species
AGUGAACGCUGGCGGUAGGCCUAACACAUGCAAGUCGAACGGCAGCACAGUAAGAGCUUGCUCUUACGGGUGGCGAGUGGCGGACGGGUGAGGACUACAUCGGAAUCUACUUUUUCGUGGGGGAUAACGUAGGGAAACUUACGCUAAUACCGCAUACGACCUACGGGUGAAAGCAGGGGAUCUUCGGACCUUGCGCGAUUGAAUGAGCCGAUGUCGGAUUAGCUAGUUGGCGGGGUAAAGGCCCACCAAGGCGACGAUCCGUAGCUGGUCUGAGAGGAUGAUCAGCCACACGGGAACGGAGACACGGUCCAGACUCCUACGGGAGGCAGCAGUGGGGAAUAUUGGACAAUGGGCGAAAGCCUGAUCCAGCAAUACCGCGUGGGUGAAGAAGGCCUUCGGGUUGUAAAGCCCUUUUGUUGGGAAAGAAAAGCAGCAGGUUAAUACCCCGCUGUUCUGACGGUACCCAAAGAAUAAGCACCGGCUAACUUCGUG